rnacentral:rRNA from 1 species
AGGAGUUUGAUUUAUGGGCUCAGAACGAACGCUGGCGGCGCGUUUUAAGCAUGCAAAGUAGAGCGGCAAGGGUCUUCGGGCCCCUAGAGCGGGCGGAACGGGUGAGUAACACGUGGACAAUCUGCCCCCCGGCCGGGGAUAGCCCAGGGAAACCUGGAUUAAUACCGGAUGAGACGGGACCCGCGGAGGCGGGAUCCGGGAAAGGCGCUGCGGCGCCGCCGGGGGAUGAGUCUGCGUCCCAUUAGCUUGACGGCGGGGUAACGGCCCACCGUGGCGACGAUGGGUAGCCGGCCUGAGAGGGUGUACGGCCACAUUGGAACUGAGACACGGUCCAGACUCCUACGGGAGGCAGCAGCUAAGAAUCUUCCGCAAUGGGCGAAAGCCUGACGGAGCGACGCCGCGUGAACGAAGAAGGCCGUGAGGUUGUAAAGUUCUUUUCGGGAGGGGGAACAACCGUGGCAGGGAAUGGCCGCGGGAUGACGUGAAUCCCGGAAUAAGCCCCGGCUAACUACGUGCCAGCAGCCGCGGUAACACGUAGGGGGCGAGCGUUGUUCGGAAUCAUUGGGCGUAAAGGGCGUGCAGGCGGUCCUGCAAGUCCGGCGUGAAAGACCCCGGCCCAACCGGGGGGGCGCGCUGGAAACUGCAGGGCUUGAGUACAGGAGGGGAUGCCGGAAUUCCAGGUGUAGGGGUGAAAUCUGUAGAUAUCUGGAGGAACACCAAUGGCGAAGGCAGGCAUCUGGCCAUGUACUGACGCUGAGACGCGAAGGUGCGGGGAGCAAACAGGAUUAGAUACCCUGGUAGUC